CCUACGGGUGGCUGCAGUCGAGAAUCAUUCACAAUGGGGGAAACCCUGAUGGUGCGACGCCGCGUGGGGGAAUGAAGGUCUUCGGAUUGUAAACCCCUGUCAUGUGGGAGCAAAUUAAAAAGAUAGUACCACAAGAGGAAGAGACGGCUAACUCUGUGCCAGCAGCCGCGGUAAUACAGAGGUCUCAAGCGUUGUUCGGAAUCACUGGGCGUAAAGCGUGCGUAGGCUGUUUCGUAAGUCGUGUGUGAAAGGUGCGGGCUCAACCCGCGGACGGCAGAUGAUACUGCGAGACUAGAGUAAGUGAGGGGGAACCGGAAUUCUCGGUGUAGCAGUGAAAUGCGUAGAUAUCGAGAGGAACACUCGUGGCGAAGGCGGGUUCCUGGACCUUAACUGACGCUGAGGCACGAAGGCCAGGGGAGCGAAAGGGAUUAGAUACCCCAGUAGUC
rnacentral:rRNA from 1 species